rnacentral:rRNA from 1 species
GACAGAGGCCUCAAGCGUUAGGCGGAAUCACUGGGCUUAAAGCGUGUGUAGGCGGAUCGUUAAGUGCCUUGUGAAAUCCCACGGCUUAACUGUGGAACGGCUGGGCAUACUGGCGGUCUUGAGCCAUCUAGGGGCGACUGGAACAAACGGUGGAGCGGUGAAAUGCGUAGAUAUCGGGAGGAACACCUGUGGCGAAAGCGGCGCACUGGACCAUAACUGACGCUGAGGCGCGAAAGCUAGGGGAGCAAACAGG